UACGUAGGGUGCAAGCGUUAUCCGGAAUUAUUGGGCGUAAAGAGCUCGUAGGCGGUUUGUCACGUCUGCUGUGAAAACUGGAGGCUCAACCUCCAGCCUGCAGUGGGUACGGGCAGACUAGAGUGCGGUAGGGGAGAUUGGAAUUCCUGGUGUAGCGGUGGAAUGCGCAGAUAUCAGGAGGAACACCUAUAGCGAAGGCAGCUUGCUGGGACGUUACUGACGCUAAGGCGCGAAAGCGUGGGGAGCGAACAGG
rnacentral:rRNA from 1 species